UACGUAGGGGGGCAAGCGUUGUCCGGAAUCAUUGGGCGUAAAGCGCGCGUAGGCGGCCCGGUAAGUCCGCUGUAAAAGUCCAGGGCUCAACCCUGGAAAGCCGGUGGAUACUGUCGGGCUAGAAUCCGGAAGAGGCGAGUGGAAUUCCUGGUGUAGCGGUGGAAUGCGCAGAUAUCAGGAGGAACACCUAUUGCGAAGGCAGCUCGCUGGGACGUUACUGACGCUGAGACGCGAAAGCGUGGGGAGCGAACAGG
rnacentral:rRNA from 1 species